rnacentral:rRNA from 1 species
UACGAAGGGGGCUAGCGUUGCUCGGAAUCACUGGGCGUAAAGCGCACGUAGGCGGCUUUCUAAGUCAGAGGUGAAGUCCUGGAGCUCAACUCCAGAACUGCCUUUGAUACUGGGGAUCUCGAGUCCGGAAGAGGUGAGUGGAACUGCGAGUGUAGAGGUGAAAUUCGUAGAUAUUCGCAAGAACACCAGUGGCGAAGGCGGCUCACUGGUCCGGUACUGACGCUGAGGUGCGAAAGCGUGGGGAGCAAACAGG